rnacentral:rRNA from 1 species
UAUCAGCUAGUUGGCGGUGUAAUAGACCACCAAGGCUAUGACGUCUAGGGGAGGUGAGAGCCUGACCCCCACCGAUGGUACUGA